rnacentral:lncRNA from 1 species
UUUUUUUUUUUUUUUUGAGACGGAGUCUCGCCCUGUCAGGCUGGAGUGUAAUGGCAUGAUCUCGGCUCACUGCAACCUCCAUCUCCCGGGUUCAAGCAGUUCCCUGCUUUAGCCUCGCGUGUAGCUGGGAUUACAGGAGCCUGCCACCACACCCGGCUAAUUUUUGUAUUUUUAGUAGAGGUGGGGUUUCACCAUCUUGGCCAGGCUAGGCUCGAACUCCUGACCUUGUGAUCCACCAGCCUCAGCCUCCCAAAGUGCUGGGAUUACAGGCGUGAGCCACUGCCCCCAGCCUCAGAUCCAUUUUUGAGACAGAACUAGUAUCCCUCAGCUUCCAAAUCCUACUUGCUAACUAGACACGGUACCCUUCCUGCUCACCAAAUGAGACAUAUUUGAAACAGAGCUGUUUUCCCUCAUGAUUCAACCUGUCCUUUCUCAACAUAAAAAAUGCAGGAACCAAAUACAUUCAGAGAAACUGUCUGAACUCUCACCAUACAAAUGCAAGAACUGAAUGGAUUUAGAAACAUUUUUGAGAUACGACUGGUAUCCCUCAUUCUUGAACUUUCGUUACUCUCCAGGCAAAAUGCAGGAACCUUUACAUAACAGGGUACCCUCACUAUCCCAACUCUUGUCCCUGGAGCUCAGGAAAGUUCAUAGAUUUGGAUAUAUUUUUGAGUUAAAGUCAUUAUUCUUCAUUAUCUCAAUUUUCCCCACUCACUAUGUAAGAUGUGAAAACAAAAUACCUUCAGAUAACUUGGUAGGUUUCACUGUCUGAACUUCGGGCGCUCUCCCUCUCAGAAUUCAGGUACCAAAUAGAUUGGGACAGUGAGGAAUGCUUGUGUUGUUAUCAAUAGGUUUGGAUAGAUAUUCAGGAUAAAUAAGAUAGGUCUGGCAUCUUGUUAUUCAAACUCACUAGUCUCUGUGAGAAAUGCAGGAACGAAACCUAAUUGAGUAACAUAUUACCUUCUAGCCAUCCAAGUUCUCCCCAUCAUCCUCGGAAUCAAGGAGAUUCGGACAAUGAGGGGAACCCUGCAUUAUUGUUGUUACUGUUACUACUGGACAGGCCUGAUUCUUACAUCCAGUGACUGCCUGGCCUUCUCUCCCACAGACAAGCCCCACAGAGGUGGGGUGGACUUAGCACCAAGAUUUUUAUUGCUUACUGCUGAGAGGAGGAGGAUGAAUCCUUGACCCCAUCCCUCCUCUAUACCAAGUCCUGAAGCCUUGGCCUAGAAUAGACUUCUUCUCUUUCAGGCCAGGAAAACAGGGAUCAUGCACCCAGAAUCAAGACCAGGGAAUAGGGGUAACAUGGCCUAGAAGAUUCAUACAUACCCCAGCAUCCCCCAUCUCUUCAUAUUUUCUCAACUCUUCCCCACAACGUGAGGCAGUCCCCAACACAGCAAGGCUGGAAACAUGACCCAGACCUCUCAGACUCCCAGAGAGUCACUGAAUAAUUUAGGGUAUUCUUUCACACUUGCAGAGGGCAGCAGCGUAGAACAGUUGCAUGCCCUCCUGGGGCAGGAAGAGAAAUGUAAGCUCUAUGUGAGAUCACUAGGGUGGGGGUAGGGGAGAUCACACACAAAAACCCCCAUUAGCCACGCAGGGUGCAUAGGGCUGCUUGCUCUUGCUAAGAGAAGCAUUUGGGACGUACUUCAGAGGUCCUGGUAACAGCAGAAUCUUCAAGUUCCGGGCACAGUAUAAUGGGACCC